rnacentral:sRNA from 1 species
AAAUAUUCUGUUGGAGCAUAUGGGUGUGAUAGUAUGCAAAUGUGGACUAAGGAUAAACACUGAGCAAGACUGCAUUACUUUAAAAAAUGUGAAGGCCAGCCUGGAAGCUGGAACAUCAGAACACAGUGAGAGCUGUCAUCUACGGCCAACUUUUCAUUUAUCUCAGAACUUUGGAAUAUCAAAUCUUUUGAUGGCUUGUGAGGUUUGUGAUUUCCUCUUCAUAAUAGUGUGAUAGACCUUGAAACAGGAAACUGUAGCAGUGAAAGGUACAAGUGCAAAGGUACAAGUGCAGCACAAGACUUUUAUGGCUAUGUUUACAUGAACACUGGCUGGACCAUUGAUUGCUUUAACUGUUGAUGUAAAUACCGACUGGAUCAUUGACUAGCACAUAAUCUGUUUUGCUACACAGUAGAACACUGUGGCCGUGUUGGUGUAGGGUGUUAAAAUAGUUGAUUGAUGGAAAGCUAUUUUGUGUUCUGGUUGCAUUUGAAGGUAACAGGUUGAAUGCUUGUAGGACACGUUUAUGACUAUCAUACAGUCAAUGUUGAUACCUGUUUGAGGAGGAGAACUUGGAUUUUUCUAAUUAUUAAAAUCUUUUCAAAUGCCUUUUUUAAGAAGUUGAAAUGUUAAUUUUUUUUUUUAUGUAAGAUAUACCCUGUUUCUAUGGACCAUGUGUACAGAAAUGAUUUUUUAUUUAUUUUUAUGUCCUCUUUAUUUUUUUUUGAUAACAUUCAAUUAUAAAUGCAGAGACAAGUAAACAUGAGACUAGCAUUAAAGACUAUUUAUUGCAAGUACCGAUAACUUUUGCAGAAGUUUUAAUAAAGUAAUAUUCAGAUUUUUAUAUAUUUUUUUAUUGACUCAACUUUAUGAAAUGAAAAAUACCUAGUAAAAUAUACUUUAUAAAUUAGAAAAAAAGUGUAACUAUACAAGCAACACUACCAUUAAGUCUAACAAACUUCCUGUGUUAGAUCUGCUCUAUAUUUUAUAUCUUGAUAUAUUUUCUUCGCUCCUUUGUCAAAAGAUUCAAAUAUUUAACAGCAGAGUACUUGGUAAACUGAAUCUGAAUUUAGUGCAAUACCAUGAUAUAUUUUUCAAGAAAAUGAAACAGGUGUACCAAAUGUUUUUUUUUAAAUAAAUAUUUAAAUUAUAUAUAUUUUUUAUGUGGUUAGAAUGAGUGUAGAACACAUGUGAUUUGCAGUGAAAGCUGUGGAUAGAUUGACUGUGUAAUGACUUGACAGGUCUGGAUGAUGACAUUCCUUUUUGACCUGAAUACAAAGUUUUGUUUUGUAUAUAUUCUUUUGAGUUGAAUGCAAGCAUCGUUGUGCUGUUUAUCUAUACUGGCUUGUAUUUAAAAUAUUGAUACAGUAGAACCCAAUAGUUUUGUUGAAUUUUCUGUUUAAGUCAUGAACCUGGCUAUGCAAAUAAGGGAAACUUUUUAAAUACAAUAGAAAGUACUUUGGGGUUUUCAAACUGUUCUGUGAUUUAGUAUUUAUCAAUUUUUGUAUGCCAUUAAUGGGAUUCCAUUGUAGUGUUUUUAAAUGAUUAGCCUGUGUUGACUCUUCCUGUGCUAGCUGUAGGUGUAGUAUGUAGGUAUUGUAAUGCAAGUAUUGGCCUGUUGGUGUAGUAAACAGUUUACAGAUAGCUUAGGUCUGUCUGGCUUGAGAAAGUGUUGGUGUAGCUUAGGUCUGUCUUGUUUGAGAAAGUGUUAUUGUAGCUUAGGUCUGUCUGGCUUGAGAAAGUGUUGGUGUAGCUUAGGCCUGUCUGGCUUGAGAAAGUGUUGGUGUAGCUUAGGUCUGUCUGGCUUGAGAAAGUGUUGGUGUAAGGCUUGUAGUGUAUAGACCAGUAAGUAUUAGAAUGUUGCAUAGAACUGUCAGUGAAUUGUUAAGCGAACAGUGCAUGUUCAUGUACAGAGAAAAUGUUGAGUCAAAGAUUAAAUAGAACGUUAUA